AUGGCUCCCCCUACGCCAUCCUCAUCUCCCAUGCCGGUUAUGGACGCACGGAUGAGGCUGAUAAUCCAGGCAACAACACUGAUUAGUGUGAUUCAGGCAUGGGUCAUGUUCAUGCACCAGAGAGCUGUUCGUCAUGCUGGGAGUCCUUUGAUCCGCUAUGGUCCAUUGUUUCCCCGAGAACAGGAGAGGAUCCAAAAUCUGAACUACAUCUACAACUGCAAUCACGUCGAGGCUCUGUGGAUGCUUAGAAUGAAAAGAGCACCAUUUGCCAGGCUUGUCGAGACCUUCAAGAGCAGGGGCCUGUUACAAGAUAGCAUCAACACCAGUGUCGAAGAGCAGGUGGCCAUGUUCCUCCAUGUUUUUGGCCAUAACCAGAGGUUCAAGGUCAUUCACAACACGUUCAGGAUAUCAAUGGAGACCAUCUCUAGGUACUUGAAGCAUGUGCUUUUUGCUGUUGGGGAGCUUAGAGGAGAGAUGAUCAAGAGACCAUCUGGCCAGUCUCCGCCUAAGAUUCGCGGAAGCCCAAGAUGGUAUCCAUCCUUCAAGUUCAGCACUAACACAGGCUAG
rnacentral:rRNA from 1 species